CUAAGUUGUAGAAAAUUGAUGAAAACCCAAUAAAUGCAAAGUGUUUUAAGUGCAGAAUUAAAUAUUGUUAAAUGGAAACAAGCUUAGACGAGAGCAUGGACAGUGAACGUGCUAGUCCGCAAGCGAAUUUUAAUGAUGUAUCCAGUCGUUCGCCUCAUGGCAUAAAUGGCAAUGGUGUCACCGUCGAAGGGGUGGUGGGGGCUGCUAGUUCUCAGGCAGAAAAAGUGAACUCCAAUGAGCCGCCAUGGGGCAGUAAAACUUUUACGGCGUUUAGCGUUCGUUCUGUCGGCGAACACCCGCACCCACAACAGCAGCAGCCGCAACAGCAGCAUGGGCCGCCGCCUCUGAUGGCACAAGGGCCGCCGCCAAAUGCUAAUGGCAUGUUGGCAGUCACGCAACCGCCGCAGGAGACUUGGGUGGAGACAAAAGCCGAUGAUGGCCGUUCGUAUUAUUACCACUCUGUGACAAGAGAGACAACGUGGACACGUCCUGAGGGGCUGCAUAUUAAGAUAUUGACACAAGCUGAAAUUGAAGAACUCUCAAAGCGAGGCCCCGCAGCAGCAGCAACAGCUGUGCCAAUGAAUAAACCGGAUGGGGAGAAUGAAAAACUGCCGAGCGGCGCCAGCGAUGUCCCACCAGUUGGUCCUCAUCUUACAUCGCAGCCGCCGCCACACCUAAUGAAUCAACCGCCACCCAAUGCGGCACAAGCACCACUGCUCUCGCAGCCACCACCUAAUGUGCGUCAACAGCCGCCACCCAUGUUCCAACCGGGCAUGCAACCACCGGGGUUUGGACAACCGCCGUUUUGCAUGCCGCCGCCUGCAUAUGGUUUUCCAGGUGCAGGACCUGCUGGUCCCUGGGGUGUAGGAGUUCCGCCUUGGCAGCAACAGCCCAUGCAUGCUCCGCCUCCCUCAGCUGGUCAUCAGGAUAAGCCUGCGAAGAAUCUAAUCAUAAAACCUGGUGUCAUCGAUCCAGCGGUUAUUGCGCGAGCUGCUGAAUGGUCAGAACAUCGGGCUCCUGACGGCAGACCUUAUUACUUUCAUGCGGGACGUGGCGAAAGUGUGUGGGAGAAGCCACAAGCAUUGCGGGAUAUGGAGGCGGCACGCAUGGCCGCACAUUCCGGUGCUUCGCCACAGACAUUAGCAGCUCCACCGGGGCAGGCGCCACCAGUUGGUGCACCUACCGGCAUGCCGCCACAUCUGCUGCCCAAUCCAAUGAUGCAUAUGCCGCCCGGCACUGCACCUGGAUUCGAUCCUCAAAUGGCUUUUGCUGCUGCCGCCGCCGCCAUGAAGGCUAAUACCGAAAACUCCAAGGCAGCCCAGGCAGCUGCUCUGGAGAAGGAGGCGAAGAAGGCCGCCGAGGAAAAACGCAAGAAGGCCGAGGAAGAGCAAAAGAAACAGGCCGCCGCUGCCAAGCAAACAGACAAGUCGCGUCCUGUGACUAGCAUCGCAAUUGCCGGGACACCCUGGUGUGUGGUCUGGACUGGAGAUGCGAGAGUUUUCUUCUACAACCCAUCCACGCGCACAUCUGUUUGGGACAGACCCGAAGAUCUCAUGGGACGCGAAGAUGUUGACAAAGCAGUGCGUGAACGACCCGACCAGCUGAAGUCGCCACAUGAGAAAUCAGUCGAGGCAGAGCAGAAGACCGCUGUCGAGGAAAGCAAAGCUAAGCCAGAACAACAACAGGCACUAGUCACCACCAAUCAGCUAUUACAGCAGGUACAGGCGCAGCGCAUGGAGGAGGAUGACGAUGAGGUCAUUAAAAUACGCACAGAGUCCGAGUCCAGUGUUGAGGAGGUCCCAACCAAGCGAGUCCGCAUGCUGAACAAGGCCAAGAAGAACGAGGAUGCUGUAUUGGAGGCUGAACAGCGUGCUGCCAAGGAACGCGCAUUGGUACCCCUGGAGACGCGAGUAACUCAGUUCAAGGAGAUGUUGCGCGAAAAGGAUGUGUCCGCUUUCAGCACUUGGGAGAAGGAGUUGCAUAAGAUUGUGUUCGACCCGCGCUACUUGCUGCUGACAUCGAAGGAACGUAAACAGGUAUUUGAAAAAUAUGUCAAGGAUCGUGCUGAGGAGGAGCGUAAGGAGAAGCGUAAUAAGAUGCGACAGAAGCGGGACGAUUUCCGAAAGCUCAUGGAAGAGGUCAAGCUGCAUGGCAAGUCCUCUUUCAGCGAGUUCUGUCAGCGCAAUGCCAAGGACGAUCGCUUCCGGGCCAUCGAGAAGGUGCGGGAACGGGAGAGCCUCUUCAACGAGUACAUUGUGGAGGUGCGGCGACGGGAGAAGGAGGACAAGCUGCUGAGGAAAGAGCAGGUAUGUGUCGAUGCGUGCAUGCGAUUGCCGCUGUUAAUUACGUAUCGCAAAUAUAUAACAAACCACAAUUGAAAAUCAUUGUCCCGGCAAUGGUUGUACAUAUAUAUCUCUAUUCUUAUAAUGAUAUCUAUAAAUAUUAAUUUAACCUUAUAUAAUACAACAUAUUUACAUAAUGUGAUUUUUUGUUAAUUUUAAAACAUAAACAUCGUACAAACGACGACCCUCCUGCCCCCUCGUGUCGUUUCGGUUUGUUGCAAAUGUCACACAAAACACAACAACUACAACAAUAAACAACAACUCCACCGUGUAGCAAACACUAUUGUUGUGCGCAAUUGUCGCCGCUUGAUGUUGUGUGUGAGUUCACAGAGUACUGAAAAUGCGCAACGCCCACAAAAUAAUAGUAAUAAUAACAAAUAACAAUGUCCAUGCAAAUCUGAUCAUCUGCCUUGAAACGAGAAUUGAAUUGAUCGGAUCUGUAAACCGAUACGAAACGAAACGAAUUGAUAUCGAUUGUCUGCCAGCCGUCAUCGUCGAUAGUCGAUCUUCGUUGCCAUCUUCAACUACACCACGCACACGCUUGCAAUCCUGUGUGGAAAGAUGAAGAUGAUGGUGAUGAUGUUGCGAUGGUGAUGAGAUGAUGAGGAAGAUGAUGAUGUUUUAGAUGAUAUUGAGAGUUAUGGAUGAUGGCAUUGGAGCCAGAAAAGGAGUCACAACCACAACAACGGCUGGAUUAGCUACAACAGCAACAACAACUAGAGGAGGAACAACAACGACGACUUCUACUACUUCUACAUUACAAUACGUAUGCAGGUGGCUUCGGCGCUGAGCAAACAGUAUGAAUAAUACAUAAUUUAAUUAACCCAAUAUAUAUUUUUUAAUUUGUUUCUUGUUUAAAAAUAAUCGAUGAAUGUUCUAAUGACCAACUCAACAAAGUUCAUCAUUUUGUUGGCAUGUGCCAGGCAAAUGGAUCCUGAAUUCUCCACCAAUAAUUGGAGACAAUAGACUAUUUCUCCAUUUGCCUGCACAAGCUUAAACAACGGCAUUUUGGGCUCGUUGGAAACUCACUCUCUAUAGACAUUACCUUUUUAUAAAACGAUACACCUAAGCAUAUUUUAGUUUUAAAUACUGUUUGUAUUUGUACGAUACGGCAUAGCCGUAGAAUUUUUAAUAAUAGCCUCGUGCACAAUGGGAAGAAAUGGUAUAAUUGAACGAUUAUAAAAAGGGGGGAUUGGGAUUGAAAGAAUUAAAAAGUCCCAUGUUUAAUUUUACGGAUGGGAGAGAUAGUGUAAUUAUGGCAAACUUUUUAAAUUAUGAGAAAGUGUGGGAUCGGGUUUGAUAUCAAAACCAAAAACGAUAUAACUCUGUAUUUUUCAGUUAAUUUUAGUAGAAUGCCAUAAAUAUCAGUCGUAAUAGAUUAGAAGAAACAUUUC